UGCCAGACUCCUACGGGAGGCAGCAGUAGGGAAUCUUCGGCAAUGGGCGAAAGCCUGACCGAGCAACGCCGCGUGAAUGAAGAAGGCCUUCGGGUUGUAAAAUUCUGUUAUAAGGGAAGAAAGGUGAUAGGAGGAAAUGACUAUCAAUUGACGGUACCUUAUGAGAAAGCCACGGCUAACUACGUGCCAGCAGCCGCGGUAAUACGUAGGGGGCGAGCGUUAUCCGGAUUCACUGGGUGUAAAGGGAGCGUAGACGGCCAAGCAAGCCAGGGGUGAAAGCCCGGGGCCCAACCCCGGGACUGCCCUUGGAACUGCUUGGCUGGAGUGCGGGAGGGGCAGGCGGAAUUCCUGGUGUAGCGGUGAAAUGCGUAGAUAUCAGGAGGAACACCGGCGGCGAAGACGGCCUGCUGGACCGCUACUGACGUUGAGGCUCGAAAGCGUGGGGAGCGAACAGGAUUAGAUACCCGAGUACCA
rnacentral:rRNA from 1 species